GACGAACGCUGGCGGCGUGCUUAACACAUGCAAGUCGAACGGAAAGGCCCUGCUUUUGUGGGGUGCUCGAGUGGCGAACGGGUGAGUAACACGUGAGUAACCUGCCCUUGACUUUGGGAUAACUUCAGGAAACUGGGGCUAAUACCGGAUAGGAGCUCCUGCUGCAUGGUGGGGGUUGGAAAGUUUCGGCGGUUGGGGAUGGACUCGCGGCUUAUCAGCUUGUUGGUGGGGUAGUGGCUUACCAAGGCUUUGACGGGUAGCCGGCCUGAGAGGGUGACCGGCCACAUUGGGACUGGGAUACGGCCCAGACUCCUACGGGAGGCAGCGGUGGGAAAUAUUGCGCAAUGGGCGGAAGCCUGAUGCAGCAACGCCACGUGCGGGAUGACGGCCUUCGGGUUGUAAACCGCUUUCGCCUGUGACGAAGCGUGAGUGACGGUAAUGGGUAAAGAAGCACCGGCUAACUACGUG
rnacentral:rRNA from 1 species